GAUGAACGCUGGCGGCGUGCUUAACACAUGCAAGUCGAACGAUGAAGCCCAACUUGCUUGGUGUUUUGGUGGCGAACUGGUGAUUAACACGUGAGUAACCUGCCCUUAACUUUUUGAUAAGCCUUGGAAACUGGGUCUUUUACCUGAUACCAGCUUCCACCUCAGGGUGAGUGUUGGAAAUAUUUGUCGGUUUUGGAUUUACUCGCGGCCUUUCCGCUUUUUGGUGUUGUAAUGGCUCACGCCGGCCACGACGGGUAUCCGUCCUGAGAGGGUGAGCGGCGACCAGAGGACUGAGAAACGGCACAGACUGGUACGGGAGGCAGAAGUGGGGAAUAUUGCACAAUGAGAGCAAGCCUGAUGAAGAGACGCCGCGUGAGGGAUGACGGCCUUCGGGUUGUAAAAAUCUUUAAGUAAGGAAGAAGCGAAAGUGACGGUACCUGAAGAAGAAGCACCGGCUAACUACGUG
rnacentral:rRNA from 1 species